rnacentral:rRNA from 1 species
AUACGGAGGGUGCAAGCGUUACUCGGAAUCACUGGGUGUAAAGCGCGCGCAGGCGGGCUGAUAAGUUGGAUGUGAAAGCCUACGGCUCAACCGUAGAACUGCAUCCAAAACUGUCAGUCUAGAGUGUGGGAGAGGAAGAUGGAAUUAGUUGUGUAGGGGUAAAAUCCGUAGAGAUAACUAGGAAUACCAAAAGCGAAGGCAAUCUUCUGGAACACUACUGACGCUGAGGCGCGAAGGCGUGGGGAGCAAACAGGAUUAGAAACCCCAGUAGUCC